GAUGAACGCUGGCGGCGUGCUUAACACAUGCAAGUCGAACGGAUUUAACAGAAAGCUUGCUUUCGGUUAAAUUAGUGGCGGACGGGUGAGUAACGCGUGGAUAACCUGCCGUAUACAGGGGGAUAACACUUAGAAAUAGGUGCUAAUACCGCAUAAGCGCACAGUUUCGCAUGAUACAGUGUGAAAAACUCCGGUGGUAUACGAUGGAUCCGCGUCUGAUUAGGUAGUUGGUGGGGUAACGGCUCACCAAGCCGACGAUCAGUAGCCGGCCUGAGAGGGUGAACGGCCACAUUGGGACUGAGACACGGCCCAAACUCCUACGGGAGGCAGCAGUGGGGAAUAUUGCACAAUGGGGGAAACCCUGAUGCAGCGACGCCGCGUGAGCGAAGAAGUAUUUCGGUACGUAAAGCUCUAUCAGCAAGGAAGAAAUACCCGACCUUUUGGUCGCUAGACGGUACUUGACUAAGAAGCCCCGGCUAACUACGUG
rnacentral:rRNA from 1 species